rnacentral:rRNA from 1 species
AGAUUGAACGCUGGCGGCAGGCCUAACACAUGCAAGUCGAGCGGUAGAGAGGUGCUUGCAUCUCUUGAGAGCGGCGGACGGGUGAGUAAUGCCUAGGAAUCUGCCUAGUGGUGGGGGAUAACGUUCGGAAACGGACGCUAAUACCGCAUACGUCCUACGGGAGAAAGCGGGGGACCUUCGGGCCUCGCGCCAUUAGAUGAGCCUAGGUCGGAUUAGCUAGUUGGUGAGGUAAUGGCUCACCAAGGCGACGAUCCGUAACUGGUCUGAGAGGAUGAUCAGUCACACUGGAACUGAGACACGGUCCAGACUCCUACGGGAGCAGCAGUGGGAAUAUUGGACAAUGGGCGAAAGCCUGAUCCAGCCAUGCCGCGUGUGUGAAGAAGGUCUUCGGAUUGUAAAAGCACUUUAAGUUGGAGGAAGGUUGUAACCUAAUACGUUGCAACUUUGACGUUACGACAGAAUAAGCACCGCUAAACUCGUGCCAGCAGCCGACG